rnacentral:lncRNA from 1 species
GCUGAUUCCCUUAGAGGAGAAACUGGGGCAAGGAGGACUGACGACGAGACAGACUCCCAAAGAAACUGUCUGCUCCUACCCAAGCCCCUGCUUUCUGGGCCCCACUGGGGAAUCCUUGGAGUCCUGGGGACACGUGGCUGGCCCCAGGCUGUGUAGACAACGGAGGAGGAGCCCUCCACCCCGCAUCCCCAGUCCCUGAGCACGUUCUGUGCAGCCUGGGCUGAGGGCGGCAGCUGGGCAGGCUCUGGGUGUCCUGAGAGUGACCGUCCAGUGGAGUGCCCUGAGGAGGGAAGGGCUGCGGGGAGUGGGGGCCCAGGCCGUGGGCUGGCACACAUUAUCUGCAGCGUGUGUGGCGAGGAGUCUGCUUCUGAAAGCUGCUGCAAAGCUGGGGAGGCAGGGCCAGAGCUCCGCAGGCAGACGCUGUCACACGGAACGGCUCCAGGCCCACUGGGGCCAGAGCACCCCCCGGCAAGCCCAGCAGCCCUCUGCUGUGGUCCAGGCCCAGGGCCAACAGUCGGCUCUGGUUUCCCCAAGGGGUAACAUGGUCCCACCCAUGUUUCUCCUUGGGGGACCUCCUGGCAGGCUGGGAUGGCAGCAGAGACCACAGCUUUGCCACUUUGGCAAAGACAAGCGAGUGAAGUGGUGGCCGAGGACCUGUGAGCUCAGAUGGGGCAAAUCCAAAUGGAACACAUUCAGAUCUGUGUGCAAAAUGGUGGUGGCUUAAACAAGCUGUGUAUUUCUCCUAUAAGUGAAAUCUGGAGUUGGCCGGGCGCAGUGGCUCAUGCCUGUAAUCCCGGCGCUUUGGCAGGCCGAGGCGGGUGGAUCACCUGAGGUCAGGAGUUCGAGACCAGCUUGCCCAACAUGGUGAGACCCCGUCUCUACUAAAAAUACAAAAAUUAGCCAGGUAUGGUGGUGCACGCCUGUAAUCCCAGCUACUCGGGAGGCUGAGGCAGGAGAAUCGCUUGAACCUGGGAGGCAGAGGUUGCAGUGAGCCAAGAUCACACCACUGCACUCCAGCCUGGGUGACAGAGUAAGACUCUGUCUUUAAAACAAAGCAAAACAAAAAUCUGGAGUUGGCUAGUCCUGGACUAGUAUGGCCGAACUAUAGUCAUCAGAGACCCAGAAUGCCUUCAGCUUGUUGCUCUGCCACCUUAAAUACAUGGUCCCAGCACCUGGUCCAAAAUGACUGCUCAAGCUCCAGUCAUCACAUCCACGUUCCAGCCAGUGGGAAGAGGAAAGGGCGAAGGAGGGAACCUCACCCUUCACAUGGUUAGUCACGUGACCACACUCUAUGGCAAGGAAGCCUGGGGCAUGUGAGCUCUUUUCCCAUGGAAGAAAGCAGGGUAAGCGGGAGAGGGAACAUCCGGCAGUCUCACCAGGGGGUCACAGCUGCCAAGUUAGAUCUAGUUCAGAAACAGAAUGUGCAAGGCUUGUUGAGUAUGGGAGGAACUCACACGCAAGAUCCACGUUCCCAGCCCCUGCACCGUCCGUGACGGGUGUCGCUCCCCAGUCCCCAGCUCAGCCCGCUCAGGGGUCUCUGUGCUCAUGUUUUCACACUGUGUUAAAACAAUCUUCGGCUGGGUGCGGUGGCUCAUGCCUGUAAUCCCAGAGCUUUGGGAGGCAGAGGUGGGUGGAUCACGAGGUGAGGAGUUCAAGACCAGCCUGGCCAAGAUGGUGAAACCCCAUUUGUACUAAAAAUACAAAAAAUUAGCCAGGCGUGGUGACAGGCGCCUGUAAUCCCAGCUACUCAGGAGGCUGAGGGAGGAGAAUCAUUUGAACCCGGAGGGUGGAGGUUGCAGUGAGCCAAGAUCGUGCCACUGCACUCCAGCCUGGGUGACAGAGUGAAACUCCGUCUCAAAAUAAAUAAAUCAAUAAAUAAAUAAUAAAACAAUCUCCACGUUUUCAGUGUGUUAAAACAAUCUGCUAGCAGGUCAUGUGAGUUACUCAGGCGCCACUUCAAGUGUCCACACAGCUGCUGUGCUCUCUUUCAAUGACUUUUUCAGCAUUCCCA